rnacentral:misc_RNA from 1 species
AGCAGCCGCGGUAAUUCCAGCUCCAAUAGCGUAUAUUAAAGUUGUUGCAGUUAAAAAGCUCGUAGUUGAAUUUCGGGAUCAAUACGUCGGUCGUGCUUCGGUACGUACUGGCGUAAUUGAUUUCUCCCUUCUGACGAACCAUGAUGUCAUUAACUUGGUGUCAUGGGAAAUCAGGACUGUUACUUUGAAAAAUUAGAGUGUUUAAAGCAGGCUCACGCUUGAAUACAUUAGCAUGGAAUAAUGAAAUAGGACGUUCGAUCCUAUUUUGUUGGUUUUUAGGAUCAACGUAAUGAUUAAUAGGGAUAGUUGGGGGCAUUAGUAUUCAAUUGUCAGAGGUGAAAUUCUUGGAUUUAUUGAAGACUAACUACUGCGAAAGCAUUUGCCAAGGAUGUUUUCAUUAAUCAAGAACGAAAGUUAGGGGAUCGAAGACGAUCAGAUACCGUCGUAGUCUUAACCAUAAACUAUGCCGACUAGGGAUCGGAUGAUGUUAAUUUUUAAUGACUCAUUCGGCGCCUUAACC